rnacentral:rRNA from 1 species
GUAGGUGGCAAGCGUUGUCCGGAAUUAUUGGGCGUAAAGCGCGCGCAGGCGGUCCUUUAAGUCUGAUGUGAAAGCCCACGGCUCAACCGUGGAGGGUCAUUGGAAACUGGGGGACUUGAGUACAGAAGAGGAAAGCGGAAUUCCAAGUGUAGCGGUGAAAUGCGUAGAGAUUUGGAGGAACACCAGUGGCGAAGGCGGCUUUCUGGUCUGUAACUGACGCUGAGGCGCGAAAGCGUGGGGAGCAAACAGGAUUAGAUACCCUGGUAGUCCACGCCGUAAACGAUGAGUUCUAAGUGUUAGGGGGUUUCCCGCCCCCCUUAGUGCUGCAGCUAACGCAUUAAGCACUCCGCCUGGGGGAGUACGGCCGCAAGGCUG